rnacentral:rRNA from 1 species
GACAGAGGUGCCGAGCGUUAGGCGGAAUCACUGGGCUUAAAGCGUGUGUAGGCGGGUCGUUAAGUGUCUUGUGAAAUCCCCCGGCUCAACCGGGGAAUGGCUGGGCAUACUGGCGAUCUUGAGCAGUCUAGGGGCAGAUGGAACAAGUGGUGGAGCGGUGAAAUGCGUAGAUAUCACUUGGAACGCCAACGGUGAAGACAGUCUGCUGGGGACUUGCUGACGCUGAGACACGAAAGCCAGGGAGCGAACGGG